rnacentral:rRNA from 1 species
AGCGGCGGACGGGUGAGUAACGCGUGGGAAUAUGCCCUUCUCUAAGGAAUAGCCUCGGGAAACUGAGAGUAAUACCUUAUACGCCCUUCGGGGGAAAGAUUUAUCGGAGAAGGAUUGGCCCGCGUUAGAUUAGGUAGUUGGUGGGGUAAUGGCCUACCAAGCCUACGAUCUAUAGCUGGUUUGAGAGGAUGAUCAGCCACACUGGGACUGAGACACGGCCCAGACUCCUACGGGAGGCAGCAGUAGGGAAUCUUAGACAAUGGGGGAAACCCUGAUCUAGCCAUGCCGCGUGUGUGAUGAAGGCCUUAGGGUCGUAAAGCACUUUCGCCAGAGAUGAUAAUGACAGUAUCUGGUAAAGAAACCCCGGCUAACUCCGUGCCAGCAGCCGCGGUAAUACGGAGGGGGUUAGCGUUGUUCGGAAUUACUGGGCGUAAAGCGUACGUAGGCGGAUUAGUAAGUUAGAGGUGAAAUCCCAGGGCUCAACCCUGGAACUGCCUUUAAUACUGCUAGUCUUGAGUUCGAGAGAGGUAAGUGGAAUUCCGAGUGUAGAG